GGAGGAGCUCACAGCGCCACCUGCUGCUUGUUGAGGACAAUGCACAAUGAGGGACGUCUGCAGAGACUGAGAAAGAGUCUCACCACAUCCUGACAUGAGGAAAAAGACUUUAUUGAAGACUACAAUGAGAAAAACUAUCAGACAGCAGACGGCUGCAUUCAAGGUGAGCUCUGAACAUUUGAUCUGGAACAGGAAUUCAAUAACGGCAGCAUGAGCUUCAUUUCAGUCUGUAGCUGCUGAAUUCAUGGAUGAAUCAUCUGGCACUAGAGAGGAAGACCAUCAAACAUCCACGUCAGCUGAUGGAGGUCCAAGAGUCUCACCAAACAAACAACCUACAGAGUGAAGACCUCCAAUCUGAUUGGACGGCCUCCUAUUCAGCCACAUGUGUGAACAAAUGCCUCUAAGUUGAUUUGUUUUCUAAAAUAAAUCUAGUUUGAGUCCUAAUCUAUGCCUGUGUGUUUGCUUCUUUACACUGCUGUUAACAGUUUAGGCUGUUAGAUUGUUCCAGAUAAGACAAGUACAAGAUUCUUCAGAGCCGUUCUACCACGAG
ensembl:lncRNA